AACAAAUGCAUCCCGGCCAUUUUGUGCCUAUUUUAGUGGCAGGUUAGAGCUCCAUUAGAGGGGUAAUGUAGCCCUGUGGGGCUGCGCCUUUAGUUAAGCUCCAGCAGCUGUGAAAGACAAGCAGGAACUGAGAGAGAGAGGGACUACAAAGAGCUGGCAAAGAGCUAAAUAAAAUCCUUUGUAGCACAUAAAUACCUGCAGGGUACAGCUGAGACGGCAGACUGGGGAUCAGGACCAGGAUCGGGAUUACCUCUAUCCGGGGGAACAGCAGCGUGAGCCGGGGAGCCUGCAGGAUUCUCCGCAAAGCCGAGCGUACGUUCUUUCAGCAGUCUGUCCAGAAAAACCUCGGUGGUGAUGAAACAGGCGGGAACAAAGCGAAACACAGUGUUCCUCACUGCACAGCCACGAUGAGCUGAAGAAGACGAGAUUUCAGAAACCACUAAUUCAACUCAAGCAACCGUUAUUAGGAUUUUUAUAACACCCUUCACUAUUAAACUGUCUAAAAAAAAAAACCCAGAAUAAUAAAAACAGGAAGGCACAAAAAUAAAUAUGCAAUAUACAGAAUAUACAGAACAGCUGUCAAUUAUGAGAAACAGCAUACAAAAUAGCUGAGCAAUAAAACUGCAAGCAGACAAGGGAA